GCGAACGGGUGAGUAACACGUGAGUAACCUGCCCUUAACUCUGGGAUAAGCCUGGGAAACUAGGUCUAAUACCGGAUAGGAGCGCCUACCGCAUGGUGGGUGUUGGAAAGAUUUAUCGGUUUUGGAUGGACUCGCGGCCUAUCAGCUUGUUGGUGAGGUAAUGGCUCACCAAGGCGACGACGGGUAGCCGGCCUGAGAGGGUGACCGGCCACACUGGGACUGAGACACGGCCCAGACUCCUACGGGAGGCAGCAGUGGGGAAUAUUGCACAAUGGGCGAAAGCCUGAUGCAGCGACGCCGCGUGAGGGAUGACGGCCUUCGGGUUGUAAACCUCUUUCAGUAGGGAAGAAGCGAAAGUGACGGUACCUGCAGAAGAAGCACCGGCUAACUACGUGCCAGCAGCCGCGGUAAUACGUAGGGUGCGAGCGUUAUCCGGAAUUAUUGGGCGUAAAGAGCUCGUAGGCGGUUUGUCGCGUCUGUCGUGAAAGUCCGGGGCUUAACCCCGGAUCUGCGGUGGGUACGGGCAGACUAGAGUGCAGUAGGGGAGACUGGAAUUCCUGGUGUAGCGGUGGAAUGCGCAGAUAUCAGGAGGAACACCGAUGGCGAAGGCAGGUCUCUGGGCUGUAACUGACGCUGAGGAGCGAAAGCAUGGGGAGCGAACAGGAUUAGAUACCCUGGUAGUCCAUGCCGUAAACGUUGGGCACUAGGUGUGGGGACCAUUCCACGGUUUCCGCGCCGCAGCUAACGCAUUAAGUGCCCCGCCUGGGGAGUACGGCCGCAAGGCUAAAAACUCAAAGGAAUUGACGGGGGCCCGCACAAG
rnacentral:rRNA from 1 species